rnacentral:lncRNA from 1 species
CCUUUUUUACAGCCCAGAGUUAAAUAGGAGACAUGUUCAGGAUCUGAUUGCCAAAAGAGCAAUAAUCCCCAAUCCAUCAGAUCGAGGCUGGAAGAUAAAUGACGGGGAAUAGCACCUGCAAGACAGAGCCGGAUACCAGCAGUGAUGACUGGACAGAUGAUGCGCCAGACCUCCACAAUGCUCCUUUGCAGCACAGGAGUUUCCCAAACAGCUUUCUCUUUUUUUCACCAUUUCUGCACCAAAGUUUCUCCUUUCUGACCUAGCUGCAGGUGUGGAGGAACCAGACUCUCUUGGGCAUGAUGACAAGGGUGGAAUGAAGUCUCUGAGCAAACACAAAGUAUCACAAGACAAAAGUGCUGAGUAGGAAACAAGUGG